GACGAACGCUGGCGGCGUGCUUAACACAUGCAAGUCGAACGGAAAGGCCCUGCUUUUGUGGGGUGCUCGAGUUGCGAACGGGGGAGUAACACGUGAGUAACCUGCCCUUGACUUUGGGAUAACUUCAGGAAACUUGGGCUAAUACCGGAUAGGAGCUCCUGCUGCAUGGUGGGGGUUGGAAAGUUUCGGCGGUUGGGGAGGGACUCGCGGCUUAUGGGCUUGUUGGUGGGGUAGUGGAUUACCAAGGCCUUGACGGGUAGGCGGCCUGGGCGGGUGACCGGCCAAAUUGGGCCUGAGAUACGGCCCAGCCUACUACGGGAGGCAGCAGUGGGGAAUAUUGCACAAUGGGCGGAAGCCUGAUGCAGCACAGCCGCGUGCGGGAUGACGGCCUUCGGGUUGUAAACCGCUUUCGCUUGUGACGAAGCGUGAGUGACGGUAAUGGGUAAAGAAGCACCGGCUAACUACGUG
rnacentral:rRNA from 1 species